UACUAGAGUAGCACUCGCAUAUCAAUAAGCGGAGGAAAAGAAACUAACAAGGAUUCCCCUAGUAACGGCGAGUGAAGCGGGAAGAGCUCAAAUUUGAAAUCUUAAAGGGUUUCCCUUUACGAAUUGUAGUUUAAAGAAGUGUUUUCUGUUGAGGUUUUGGUAAAAGUUCUUUGGAAUAGGACAUCAUAGAGGGUGAGAAUCCCGUAUUUGACCUUUACUUUCAACUUUGUGAUACACUUUCAAAGAGUCGGAUUGUUUGGGAAUGCAGUCCAAAAUGGGUGGUAAAUUUCAUCUAAAGCUAAAUAUUGGCGAGAGACCGAUAGCGAACAAGUACCGUGAGGGAAAGAUGAAAAGAACUUUGAAAAGAGAGUUAAACAGUACGUGAAAUUGUCAAAAGGGAAGCGUUUGACACCAGUGUUGUUUUUCUGAAAAUCAAUUAAAGAACUGUUUAUGCUAAGCUGUUUAGACUUUAUCAGCUAACUGUUUAGUUUUGAGCUUUUCUUUAAUGCACUUUUCAGUUAACAAGUCAACAUCAAUUUCUUUUGCUGUAAAAAAGCUUGAGGAAGGUGGCUUGAGAUUCGUCUUAAGUGUUUAUAGCCUCUUGCCUAUGCAGUCGGAGAGAUUGAGGUCUGCAGCGUAGAUCCUUCGGGGCUAAAUGCAUUUGUGCUAAGUUAUAGCAUUUUAUAGACAACUUGUUGACUAUGAUUUGUCUUGUAGCUUACUCGCUUAUGUUAUUUUACCUACGCUUAGGAUGUUGAGCGCAUGUCUCUCUCU
rnacentral:rRNA from 1 species